CCUACGGGAGGCAGCAGUGAGGAAUAUUGGUCAAUGGGCGAGAGCCUGAACCAGCCAAGUCGCGUGAGGGAGUACUGCCCUAUGGGUUGUAAACCUCUUUUGUCGGGGAGCAAAAGCCGGACGUGUCCGGCUGUGAGAGUACCCGAAGAAAAAGCAUCGGCUAACUCCGUGCCAGCAGCCGCGGUAAUACGGAGGAUGCGAGCGUUAUCCGGAUUUAUUGGGGUUAAAGGGUGCGCAGGCGGAUUUUUAAGUCAGCGGUCAAAUCGUGGGGCUCAACCCCAUCCAGCCGUUGAAACUGGGGAUCUAGAGUGUGCGAGAGGUAUGCGGAAGGCGUGGUGUAGCGGUGAAAUGCAUAGAUAUGACGCAGAACCCCGAUUGCGAAGGCAGCAUACCGGUGCACAACUGACGCUCAGGCACGAAAGCGUGGGUAUCGAACAGGAUUAGAUACCCCAGUAGUC
rnacentral:rRNA from 1 species